GACCUUGUGUGGCAUGGUGGUUUGGGUGUUGGGCUACAAAUCUGGAGACCAGGGUUCGAUUCCCAGCUUGGCCU